GAUAAGAAGGGGUGGGCAGCAUUUAUUCUGCAAUGUUUAUGAUUUAUUCCCCUUUUAUUUUCUCUCUUUAACUCCAUCCAAAAUAUUUCUGAGAGUCUUAGUGAAAUAUAAUACUAGAAGCCUUUAAUGGCACCUUUUCAUCUCACAAUUGCAGAGUGCUUUUCAAAGCUUAAUUAAAUUUUACAGCAUGCCUCUCAGGUGAGUGUAAUUUGAAUGCGUGCAUUCCUGUUUGUGAGGAAACUGAGGCAGGGGGUGGUGAUUAACUCAAAGCUGUGUACCAAAUGAAAUGUCAGAGCAAGAACUACAGUCUAGGAGAUCUUAUUAGUGUCAUAUAAAUCCAGCACAGUUUGGUUCUUAAAGAUUUCAUCAACUAGACAAUACAAAUGAUGGCCUCCUGCUCUGGAAAAGGAGCCAAAUAGCUUCUCCAGACUCUUCCUUUCCUUAGCCUUUGUGAUGAUUAACUGCUUUAUGCUUCAUCCAUUUUUGGGGGGGGCCUCUCAAGUCCUUGGGCAUGCCAGAUGUUUGCUCAGUCGUCUAGCAUGAUCAGAAGAAAAUGAAUGGAUGGUUACAUUUGACCUCAGUCUUUCUCUGCAUAUGGCAUAGGCCUUCUCUGCCCUUUCCACUGCAGUCUUGUUAGGCUGCAGUCUGAACCCAUCUAUCAACUCCUCAAGCCUCGGAGUUCUCCAGUAUAAACUCUAUAAUGUGCACUACAAAAGACAUGGGGUUUCUUGCCUGGAACUUGCCAGUGGCAAAGGGGGAGCUUUUCAGCCUCUCCUCAUUGAAAGGCAUUAAAAGCAGACUGCCCUCUUCUACAGUUAGGUAAGUGGAAGAAAGCUGCUGGGAGGAAAAGGUUCAUUUACUCUGUACAUUUCUCUUACCAAGAUCCUUUACAGAAUCAAUCAUCAGUGGCUAACACCCAAACACAACUACUGAUGAGAUGCUGUGGGAUAGGCCAGAAAGCACCAUACCGGAGAGGCGUAGGAAAGUAGCGAGAUAUGCUUCCUGAGCCCUCAGUGAUCAUGGGUUGAAAGUCAUACCUCGUUUGAGCCCCAGAGCAGAGCCUGAUUGAGAGUGGAUUUUUUUGGUAGCUCUGUGAGUAUGUCACACAGGUUCUGGUUCCCCAUUUUGUGCCCUUAUCUGCAAGGUGGACGGUAUUACCUAGCCUGCCUGGCAGACUUGAAAUUGAUGUCAAUUGGAAUUAAAAGUUGGAGUAUGGCUGUUUUUUGGAACCUAUGAGAAACAAGCCUGAAGUCAAGUGCCUGAGCAAUCAGGCAGACACAAUGUGCAGGCUGAAAGUGCUCUUCCCUUGGACCAGCCAUCACAAUACAGAAAGGUCUCUUGGCAGUGAGACAGACUUUUAAUAAGCAGAGCAGUAGUUUUAAUGAGUUAAGGAAUCCAUCUUUGGGAAAUUAGUGGCGUGAAUUAACUUUUGGUUCUUUCAGCAGAGAAGCCGAAGAUUGAAUGAUGUCCCUUUGUCUCAAGAAACAAGUCUCCAGCCUAGAACAGAGAGGAGACUCUUAAUAUUGAACGCGCAGGCCUCCACUGCCUGGAUCUUCUGGAGCCUCAGCUCACGCUGGGCACGACUGCCAUAUCUGGGCUUUCCAAAGCCUGAGCAGGAUUUAGCAGUCAUGACGUCUGACUGCAGUCUCCCCAGAUGUGCCCAAGGAGCAGCAAAAGCUGAUAAAAUCUACUACAAACUUCCCUGUUUUGAAGUAUGGUAAAAUGUGGUGCCCGGCGUGUUCGUUCCCCUCCUGUCAUCAAGCGCCAGCUUCAGCAGUGCUUAGUACCGCCAGCUUCUUCCUGCUGUCAUUUUCACUUCCCCCCAAGGACUAAACAUUUAAAAACCAAGAAAUCCUGAGAUCCUAAGUAACCCUUGAACCAAGCUGAUCUUAGAGAAUUGAAUGAAUUCAUUGUGAAAGUUGCUGCACGGACAGCUCUUCCUUAUCUUCACCAGCCCUGGAGGAACAGCGGUGGAUUGCCUUGCUUCACCUCCCAGUCCGGUCCCUUGUCUUUAUCUCACAGUGUAAGAAGCAGCUCUGUACAAUUUCUAUUCUAAUUUUCUGUUGAGACAGUACAGGGUAAGUGCUUUUUUCAUGUGUUUUUUUUUUUCUUUUAAACUGUUUUUUUCCUCUCCUUAUGAGCAGUAAGUCACUGAAUAGGUACAAGCAGGUCAGCUGAUACAGAUCUGAGAACAAUGAUUGGCUGUUGUUAACUUUUCUUAGCAAAAAAUGUGCAAUUUAACUA